UGAGUCCGUUGGUCAGCCAGAUUGGGAAGAAACAUUACCAUUCUUAAGUCCCUUUAGAAAUAACAUGGCUAGAUUAAUCAAAACCCUAAGUGAAAUAAGUUUAGGAAAGAACAAACAGAUCAUGAUUCCAUCAACAUCCAACUCUGGUUCUAGUAACCAAGAUCAAGAACUCUCUAGGGUAGCCCAACAAGAGUUAGAAAUAGCUUCAAUAGAAAGAGCACUUCAAAAUUGGUCAAUCCCUAUAGUUAAAAAGAAAGAAAUAUAUAAACAACACACUUUAUUCAAUAGAGCAGAUGAUUCUAUUUUUACAAUAGAAUGUUGUCAACAUAGUUCUGAUCACACAAGUACUAUAAAAUUAUUAAAUGAAGAUGUUUUAGAUCAACACAUUAAAAAUGGUUUUAACUUCAUUCAUGUAGGUUUAAUACAAGUAGCUGCAAAACCUAACUUUCGUUUAGGAAUCAAUUCUCCUAUAAUAGUAAUGUUAAGAGAUAUGAGGCUAUUAAAGCCACAAGAUUCGUUAAUUGCAGUCUUAGAAUCAAACCUUCAUGAUGGUCCUGUUUUCUUUAACUGCUAUCCAACCUAUGCUAUGAAUCUUCAGAAUAGUUGGACCAAAAAUGCCAUACAAUUAGAUCUAUUAGCAAACAAUGAUAUUUUUGAAGAAGAAAGUGAUCCUUUCUCAAUAAUAUAUAGAGUAUAUUAUAAAGUUUCAAAAAUCAAUUAUAAUUUUAAAGCUUUAAGAUCUUCACCCAAACAAGAAACCAUUAUGCUAGAAGCAAACCUUAAAAGAUUUUCAGUACAAGUUCCAAAGAAACUUACUCAUGAAGAAGUUAUGAGUAAAGUUCCUGAGGAAUGGGUAUUCAAGAAUUCUCUGCCUCAACCAAAAGUUCAUAAUACUCAAGUAAGAGAAUUGUUUCAAGAAGGAGCAAAUCUCACUUUAAGAAUGAAUAGAUCAAACUCAUUUAGUAUUAGAUCUCCUCAACAGUUAUACAGAGUAGAUCUCCCAAGAUCUUCUGUAUCAUCAAAGCUUAAAGGAUUAGAUACAACGUCUAGUCCUAGUAUAGCAACACCUAUAUAUCAAGAUGAAGAAUCUAGUAAUUAUUCUCCAACCCCUUCGCAAAUCAACAUGCUAAGUAGGGUAAAACCUAGUUUUGAAAUAGACAAAGAUUUCAUUAGAAAAGAUUUUAUGGCUGAAUACAAUAAAGAUAAAAGAUUAUGGUACUUCGAGAAUUACAGUAAACAAGAAACUGAAACUCUUAGGGCCUUAUAUUAUGAAGAAAUGGAAGUUUCUGAAACAAACAUCUAUUUUUUUGAUUGGUUCGAAAACCAUUGUAUUAAAAAUAAUCUUAAUUAUCCUUUCUGGAAAAACGUCAAUCCAAUCACAAAAAUAAAUACCACUUGGAAAACUCCUGAUAAUAACACUAUUACUUCAGAAUACCCUCCACAAACUGGAGUGAAAAUAGUCAUAAAAGAUGGUCAUGAAAUCGAAGCAUCUCCUUAUAAGGCAGAAGCUAACAAAGUUCAUCAACAAUUAAAUUUUGCAAAUACUAUGUUAACAGUCAUGUCAAAGCAGCUAGAAAGAAUAGAGGUUCAAAAACCCUCUAUUACAACCAAAGAAGCUUCUUCAUCAUUUACCUUAGGAAACCCUUUGCAAACUCCUAUUUUCAAAAUUCCUCAAUACACUAAAGAAGAAUUUAAUUCCUUUAAUCUCUCGGGAAGUGUAGAAAAAUUAAAAGAAAAAUUAAACAAGCUUUCAAUAAAUCAUUUGGAUAAAGAUUUAAAUAUCAAUAAAAUUAGAAAGUUUGGGCCAGAUAACAACACAAGAGCCUACUAUCCAAGACCUUCCUAUUCUGAUAUGAGGUUUGAAGAAAGAAAAGAAUUUAUUCAAAAUACCUUUAGUGGAACUAGCCUUGAUGAAUGGAAUAUCGAUGGCUUUAGUGAACAAAAUAUAUUAGAUAUUACGCAUCAAAUGAUUAUGGCUGCCACAGCCUAUAAAGUCCAUAAUAACACCGAUAGAAAUGCAGCAUUAAUGAUUACUCAUGGCUUCACCGGUCAGUUACGAGGCUGGUGGGACAACAUCAUGACCCCUGAAGAUAAAUCAACUAUAUUAGAAAAGAAAAAAGAAAAUGGAGAAGAAGAUGUUGUAGCAACAUUAAUAUAUACUAUUAUACUUCAUUUCAUAGGAGAUCCUAGCAUAUUUAGAGAGAGAGCUUCAAGCCAGCUCGCUAAUCUCUAUUGUCCCACCAUGUCCGAUUACAGAUGGAAUAAGGACACCUUCUCAAAGGUAACCUUAAGAGAAGAUGGCAACAACGCCUUCUGGAAAGAGCGCUUUAUUGCAGGAUUACCUAGAUUAAUGCAAUCAAAGGUAUUAGAUAAUUUAUCACUUUUUAAUCAAGGAAAUCCAGUAAAUUUUGGUUCGCUAUCAUUUGGACAAUUGCAUAACACUAUAGUACACACAGGAAUACAAGUUUGUACUGACUUCAAACUUCAAAACAAAAUGCAAAAAGAUAUGCAAAUCUCAAGAAAAGAAGUAGGUAGCUUUUGUGAACAAUAUGGAGUAGAACCUUUACAAGCUCCUAGUUCAAAAGCUAGAAGGAUUAAUAGAUCCAAAACAAAGCCUUCUCAGGGCUAUAAAAAGAGAAAACCAUUUCAAAAGAAACCUUAUGAACAAAGUCCUACUACUCAAAAACCUAUAAACAAAAAAGCUGUAAAUCCUAAUAAAAAGAAAAAUGUCUGCUGGAAAUGUGGAAAGCCAGGACAUUAUGCAAACAAAUGCAAAACUCAACAAAAAAUUAAUGAAUUAGAUUUAGACCAAAAACUCAAAGAUAGUCUAAUCAGUGUUCUCAUUAAUAGUGAAGAUCCUCACUACUCUUCAGAAUAUGAAUAUGAAGGAGAUGAAGACCAAGAUGUAAAUCUGGUCGAAUACUCAUCUGAUUCUCAUUCCUCUUCAGAAGAAGAAAGAGAAUGUGUUAAAGAUAGUUCAGGAUUCUGUGAUUGUGCAGGAUGCUUAGGACAAAACGUCAAUAUGCUAACCCAAGAUCAAACUAUGAGUUUAAUCUCUAUAAUAGACAAAAUGGAGGAUUCUCCCUUAAGGGACGAAUUUCUACAACAACUAAAUCUUUUGGUCAAAAAGGAAGAAACCUUGAAAAAGGAAAUUAGUCCUCCAAUAAAUAGCAUGAAUGAAAUUUUUAAUAGAUUUCGUCCUAAACCAACCAUAACCUUAUCAGAUCUUCAAGAAGAAGUAAAAAUAUUAAAAGAAGAAGUUAACCAAUUAAAGCAAAAUGAUCUUAGCUUAGAGUUCAGAUUAAUGGAAAUAGCUGGGAUAAAAAUUAUAGAAUCUCAAGAAACCUUAGCCAGUACCUCAGGAUUAAAGCAAAUACAUAAUGAAGAAGAAGAAGAAGAACCCAAUGAAAGUUAUCUUAAUCUCCUCAACUUGGUUAUAACCCAUAAAUGGCACUCUGAAAUAACUUUAGUCAUUAAUAAUGAUUUUCGAAUCAAUAUAGUAGCCCUCAUUGAUAGUGGCGCAGAUAUCAAUUGUAUUCAGGAAGGCUUAGUCCCCACUCAAUUUUAUGAGAAAACCAAAGAAGGAGUCAACAGUGCAAAUGGAUCCAAAAUGAAUAUUCAAUACAAACUAUCAAAUGCAAAGAUUUGCAAAAGCCAAGUUUGUUUUAGAUCUUCAUUUGUCAUAGUAAAAAACAUGACAGAAAAAAUCAUUUUAGGAACUCCAUUCAUUUGUCUUCUAUACCCUAUUGAUAAAAUAGAUGAAAAGGGAAUAGUCACAACAGUCUUAGGAAAGACUAUUACUUUUCCAUUUAUAAAACCUCCUCAGGUAAAAGAAUUAAAUUUAUUAAAGGAAAUCUCCACCUCCAAAAUAAAU
rnacentral:lncRNA from 1 species